GACGUAGGGCGCGAGCGUUGUCCGGAUUUAUUGGGCGUAAAGAGCUCGUAGGCGGCUUGUCGCGUCGACUGUGAAAACCCGCGGCUCAACCGCGGGCCCUGCAGCCGAUACGGGCAGGCUAGAGUUCGGUAGGGGAGACUGGAAUUCCGUGGUGUAGCGGUGAAAUGCGCAGAUAUCAGGAGGAACACCGGUGGCGAAGGCGGGUCUCUGGGCCGAUACUGACGCUGAGGAGCGAAAGCGUGGGGAGCGAACAGG
rnacentral:rRNA from 1 species